rnacentral:rRNA from 1 species
AUUAUGAGAGUUUGAUCCUGGCUCAGGACGAACGCUGGCGGCGUGCCUAAUACAUGCAAGUCGAACGCUUUUUCUUUCACCGGAGCUUGCUCCACCGAAAGAAAAAGAGUGGCGAACGGGUGAGUAACACGUGGGUAACCUGCCCAUCAGAAGGGGAUAACACUUGGAAACAGGUGCUAAUACCGUAUAACACUAUUUUCCGCAUGGAAGAAAGUUGAAAGGCGCUUUUGCGUCACUGAUGGAUGGACCCGCGGUGCAUUAGCUAGUUGGUGAGGUAACGGCUCACCAAGGCAACGAUGCAUAGCCGACCUGAGAGGGUGAUCGGCCACACUGGGACUGAGACACGGCCCAGACUCCUACGGGAGGCAGCAGUAGGGAAUCUUCGGCAAUGGACGAAAGUCUGACCGAGCAACGCCGCGUGAGUGAAGAAGGUUUUCGGAUCGUAAAACUCUGUUGUUAGAGAAGAACAAGGAUGAGAGUAAAAUGUUCAUCCCUUGACGGUAUCUAACCAGAAAGCCACGGCUAACUACGUGCCAGCAGCCGCGGUAAUACGUAGGUGGCAAGCGUUGUCCGGAUUUAUUGGGCGUAAAGCGAGCGCAGGCGGUUUCUUAAGUCUGAUGUGAAAGCCCCCGGCUCAACCGGGGAGGGUCAUUGGAAACUGGGAGACUUGAGUGCAGAAGAGGAGAGUGGAAUUCCAUGUGUAGCGGUGAAAUGCGUAGAUAUAUGGAGGAACACCAGUGGCGAAGGCGGCUCUCUGGUCUGUAACUGACGCUGAGGCUCGAAAGCGUGGGGAGCGAACAGGAUUAGAUACCCUGGUAGUCCACGCCGUAAACGAUGAGUGCUAAGUGUUGGAGGGUUUCCGCCCUUCAGUGCUGCAGC